rnacentral:rRNA from 1 species
AAUCAACGCUGGCGGCGUGCCUAACACAUGCGAGUCGAACGCGAAAGCCCCGCAAGGGGUAAGUAGAGUGGCAAACGGGUGAGUAACACGUGGGUGACCUGCCUUCGAGUGGGGGAUAACGUCCCGAAAGGGACGCUAAUACCGCAUGACAUCCUGCUUUUGAAAAAGCGGAGAUCAAAGCUGGGGAUCGCAAGACCUAGCGCUUGAAGAGGGGCCCGCGCCUGAUUAGCUAGUUGGUGAGGUAACGGCUCACCAAGGCGACGAUCAGUAUCCGGCCUGAGAGGGCGGACGGACACACUGGGACUGAGACACGGCCCAGACUCCUACGGGAGGCAGCAGUGGGGAAUUGUUCGCAAUGGGCGCAAGCCUGACGACGCAACGCCGCGUGGAGGACGAAGAUCUUCGGGUCGUAAACUCCGGUCGAGCGGGACGAACGCUUCGCGGAUGAAUAAUCCGCGGAAUUGACGGUACCGCUAAAGGAAGCCCCGGCUAACUCCGUG